UACAGAGGGGGCAAGCGUUAUUCGGAAUUAUUGGGCGUAAAGGGCGCGUAGGCGGCCUGGCAAGUGGAUGGUGAAAUCCCUCGGCUUAACCGAGGAACUGCCAUCCAGACUGCUUGGCUUGAGACCGGGAGAGGUGAGUGGAAUUCCCAGUGUAGCGGUGAAAUGCGUAGAUAUGCGGAGGAACACCGAUGGCGAAGGCAAUCCCCUGGGCCUGCACUGACGCUCAUGCACGAAAGCGUGGGGAGCAAACAGG
rnacentral:rRNA from 1 species